AGACCUGGGUCUUGAUUUGAAGAUCUGGUUGUUCAGUGGCACAAAAAGUGGGUAUGCACUGUAUGCAAUGCAUAGGGGCGCUGCACUAGAAGGGACGCCAAAACGAUGUGGGGAAAUGUUUUCUAGUCGCCAUUUUCUGUAUUUAACAGCAUUAAAUGGGCUGUUCUAGAGGCUGUGGAAGUGGCUCUUUGGCUCACUUAUAUAUUAAAUGAUAAAAUAUUGGCCUAUUUUUUGUUUCAUUCCUUUUUAAUUGCUUUCAAGGAUGCGAUUUAUUCACACAUCAGGAAGGAACAAAAACAUUAGGGAGGCAACGUAACAUACAAUAAUUAUUAAUUACUGUAUUUUUUAAGUGCAUGAAUAAGGGAGAGCUGUACGGACAUAUUAAACCUAUGGAGGAGGAAGGUGGAGGGGGGGCAUGACAUGUUCACAUACACCUCAGAUAGUAUGCAGUUGCGCCCCUGGUUGUGUUGAAGGUUUAUCAGCACCAACUCAAGCCGAAAUAAGAAAAGCAAUUUUUUCUCGGUCACGCUCUCAAAAUAAAGUCCAAAUUUACGUACAAAGCGAGUUAAUUUAUUGCAUAGAGCCUUUCAAACAAUAUCUACAGCAAAUUGCAGGGAGAGAAAAUAAACAUUAAAUGCAUGCAGUGUUUAGCAGAAAUAGUUAUUGUGAUAUUAUCAAUAUCACAAUAACUAAUAUCUAUUGGCUGUGAGCACAAACAACAGUUCAUUCACCUGUCAAAUACAUGACCAGAUAAGACAGAAGUUUAAUAUAGCGGAUGUUUGAUAUUCAUAGCGGUUAGGUGCUACAGCCAUCAUCUUCUACCUCAUCUAGGGUCAAAUAGUGGCACUAUUUUUAUGCUACAUUUUGGCCUGAUUUCCCCCUUAUGACAAUCUUAAGGAUGACCGUACAACUCUUAAGAUAAUCUUAAGCAAUAUUCCUGCUUUGUGUUGUGUGCUAAGAAUUAUGUGGUCCACUUGGAAGGACUGAGGGACCACUCCGAUCUAAAAUCAGGGAUACUGGACAUGGUGGAUUGUCUUGUCUGAUUUUUCAGUUUGUCUUUGAGGACAAACAUGAAUGCAGCCCCUUGUAUGUGACGUAACUGGUGAGAGGAACCUAAAUACACAUAAGACAAAACAACUGCUAUGGCACACCAGAAAAUCUGGUGGACAUUUUGGAUGUGUUUAUAUUUUUUGAUUAUAGUCCACAUACUAUCGCCAUUUCUUCUUCUCAGUUGAUCAUGCUUGUUUACUCUGGACUCCGUUUGAUUGCUUAAGUUUGGCAAGAUUUUCAGUGUUGCAUCUGAAUGUUGGAGAGUGAAAUCGGUUUGUGUGUAGUCUGUUGCUCCUGCGAUGUGGCUGUACACCACACACACUGUAUGACCAAAGCAUUUAUGCAUCAGACUUUUUAAUAACCAUGUGUGUGGUCCCAGAUUUUGAAAGUCGGUUGACAAUUUUAAAAUCUUGAAGUGAACCAGGCAUUAGCAGAGAAUGCCAGUCUUCCCUCUCCCCGGCAACUUGAGAGGGAAUCCCAAGGUCAAAGUCUUCCAGCAUGUCUUGGGUCUUUCCCUUGAAUAUCCUCCCCAGAAUACCUCAGUAGUGAGGAGAUGUCUAGUGCACCAUGCACUAGACAUGGAUUAUCCCUCAAGUUGCUGGGGAGAGGGAAGACUGGCAUUCUCUGCUAAUGCCUGGUUCACUUCAAGAUUUUAAAAUUGUAAACAUAUCAAAAUAUACCAGGUGUAAAACUAAUAACCGACUGAGCUGACUUGUCUGCAGGAGCUGCUAUCCCAGUGUCUGGAGGAGCUCAAAACAGAGAGCCAAGACGGACGCGCACAUCCAGUCUCUUAAGAAACGCAAAGCAGAUCUCUCACGGACCACAGAGGUAAUGAGACAUCAGGUACAGGACCACUUCAAAAACAUGCUGUGUGUCCUAAAGCAGGAUGAGAAGGCUCUAGUCGACACUCUGGAUAUGGAGCUGAAACGGACCAGAACCAGGCUGGACCAGAUACUGAAGAACUGGGUGAACCAUCAGGAGCAAGUCACAAAGAGCAUUAGCAUCAUCCUGAGUGUGCUGAAUAAGACCCUCACACCAAAGG